rnacentral:lncRNA from 1 species
AUAAGAAGAUGCAGAAAUAAAUCAUGUGGGUGUAAGUGUGUGUGUGUGUGUAUAUAUAUAUAUGUAUAUAUAUAUAUACAUAUAUAUAUAUAUAUAUAUAUAUAUAUAGAGAGAGAGAGAGAGAGAGAGAGAGAUAAGCAGCACACAUGGAGUAGAUCAAAAGUAGUCUUAGAAGGGAAGAUCAUAGCUGCUAGAGGAUGGAGAAAGGUCUCCAAAAGAAGGAAGGAAAGGGCCUUUUUUGUUGUCAUAUCUGACUCUCUCUGGCCCCAUUUGGGAUUUUCUUGGCAAAGACCCUGGAGUGGUUUGACAUUUUCUUGUCCAGCUCAUUUUACAGAUGAGGAAACUGAGGCAAACAGGACUAACACAGCUAAUAAGUGUCUGAGGCCACAUUUGGACUCAGGAAAAUGAAUCUUUAUCCAUUGUGCCACCUAGCUAUCCCACUAUUGCUUCACAAACUUCCAGCUGACGGAUCUAUUAUCUAAAAAAGCUAUAUUCAUUACCACAUUCUUGCUUCCAUCUUGAAAGCCUUCCUACCUAUUCACGUUCGACUCAUCAUUCUAGAGCCCAGAUCAGAUCCCACUUCUUUCAUGACUUCUUGGCACUCCUAUAGCCCUCAUUGUCUGUACCACUCAUCUGACUCCAACAUACCCUGCUAAUUAAUUGAUCAUGUACUUAUGUCUCGUGUUCCCAUAGUCUCUAAUUAAGAGAUUAACUUUUUUUUUUUAACUUUUCAAACAGGGUUAAAUGACUUGCCCAUGGUCACAUAGUUUGUAAAUAUCUGAGGCUAGAUUUGAACUCUGGACUUCAUGACUCCAGACCCAGUUUACAUCACAUACAUUACAUCACAUAGGCUGCCCUUGUUGUUUAACCAUUUCAGUCAUAUCUGACUCUUUGUGACCCAUUUUAGAGUUUUCUUGGCAAAGAUACUGAAGUGGUUUGAUGUUUCCUUCUCCAGCUCAUUUGACAGAUGAGGAAACUAAGGCAAACAAAGUGAAGUGACUUACCCAGAGUCACACAGCUAGUAAGUGUCUGAGGCCAGAUUUGAACUGAAGAUGAAUCUUCCUGACUCCAGGUCUGGGACUCUAUCCACUGUACUACCUAGCUGCCCUGUGACUUAUUUUUCAUAGUAUCCUUGUCACCAAUGUUUGUACAAUAUUGUUUGUUGAUUUAUUUCCCCUGCCUUUGUAUGCUCUAUCUCCUCCUGCAUAACUGUAUCUUCCUUCUAAGACUGGGAGCUCUCUGUAACUUACCAUGCAUUAUUAUAGUUUAGUUACUUCUGUAUGUGACUUAUUCCCCUGUUGGAUUAAGUUCUGUGAGGGCAGAAAUCUUACCUUAUCUAAAUUUUUCAGGUCCCCUAGUACAUAACAUUGUGCUAUGCACUCAGUAGGUACUUGAAAACAUGAUUGCU